UACGAAGGGGGCUAGCGUUGCUCGGAAUCACUGGGCGUAAAGCGCACGUAGGCGGCUUUCUAAGUCAGGGGUGAAAUCCUGGAGCUCAACUCCAGAACUGCCUUUGAUACUGGAGAGCUAGAGUCCGGAAGAGGUGAGUGGAACUGCGAGUGUAGAGGUGAAAUUCGUAGAUAUUCGCAAGAACACCAGUGGCGAAGGCGGCUCACUGGUCCGGUACUGACGCUGAGGUGCGAAAGCCAGGGGAGCAAACGGG
rnacentral:rRNA from 1 species